rnacentral:pre_miRNA from 1 species
CAUGUACUCCCUCCGUUCGGAAUUACUUGUCUCGGAAAUGGAUGUAUCUAGAACUAAAAUACAUCUAGAUACAUCCAUUUCCGUGACAAGUAAUUCCGAACGGAGGGAGUAUCUA